rnacentral:rRNA from 1 species
AGAGUUUGAUCCUGGCUCAGAACGAACGCUGGCGGCGUGCCUAACACAUGCAAGUCGAGCGCGAAUGGAGCAAUCCUAGUAGAGCGGCGCACGGGUGCGUAACACGUGGGUAAUCUGCCCUGAAGCCCGGAAUAACCUGCCGAAAGGCAAGCUAAUACCGGAUAAGCCUACGGUCCCCUCGGGACGUGAAGGAAAAGGUG